CCUACUGAAUAUCCUUUAUUGACACAUGCAUUCAAUACAAAAUACAGUGAAAAAUAUGUACCAUUGCUUGUACAUAAGCACCAUUCACAGAAUAGGUGCAUUUACACACAGUGGUUUAAGAAGGCUGCUUUCAAGGCUAAUUAGGGAAGGGUAACAAAUACUGGCCUAACCAGACACACCCAUAUUCAAUGAGAAAAGGAAGAAAAAAAUUUGUUUGGUCAUACAAAACUUAAAGUAUUGCUGAUAAAGUAAUAUUUAGAUUUUUUUUCAUCUUGCGCUCAUCAGUUCAAUUCGCAAAGAUCACUAAAGUAAUAGGAAAACAACAGUUAUACUGUAUGAAAUACAGUGCUCAAUAAUAAAAGCAAAUACUCUGAUUGUUGGAAAUCUGAAAUAAUACCAGCAAAUGUUGGAGGAACUUUGCAGGGCGAGCUGCAUUUGUGGAGAGGGAAACACAGUUAACAUUUCUUGUCCAAAGGUUCUAUUUGGAACUGAUUGCCAAUUAAUCACCACUGAUUGCAGUGAUCAAUCAGACUCUGGCUGGUCGAGGUGCUGCCAUGGCGAAUGCACCAACUGGAUGAUGUCUGUCAGUUAACUGCCAAGCUUUGUUUAAACUUAAAGGAUUAUCUUCAGCAGUAUUUGUAUUGGUUAUAAAAAAAAUUGGUUCUGUCCAAAUCAGCUGUUCUGAGGGUCACUGGACCUGAAAUGCUAACUCUGAUUUCUCUCCAGACCUGCUAAGCCUUUGCAGCAAUUUCUGUUUUUGUUUCUGAUUUCCAGCAUCUGCAGUUCUUUUGGUUUUAGUUUUGUAUUAGUUAUGUUUCUAUUCUGUGUCCUGAAACACAAAAUUACACGUUGACUUUUAUGGGGAAAAGGGAGUAGUUACUUAUGUUUCAGAAAGAUUUCUAUCAGGGGCACAACUGUGAUUGAGUGAGGAAGAAAUAGUAAUCCAAAAUCGGAGAGGGGAGGGCAGAUAUAUGUCUGAAGAGGAUUGACUUAACAACUGUACUCUUAUGAGGAAGGGAGGACACGUUAAAUUAACACGCACAUGGAGUACAACCCAUUCAAAUACUGCUGAAUAUAAUCCUUCAGAGCAAUUGACUGUCAAAUCUCAGGUCAUAAAUUCCACGGUAGUUGUUUGUCGGAUAUUUUGUGUUAUUAUUAAUCAGAAGCAAGAUUUUCCUUGAUCCUCACUCAAAAGGACGAAGGGGAUGAGCUCUACACACACCGAGCUGGAAGCAGUGACAGAAUCAGCAGUCAGUGGGGCUGACGGAUGCCGAAAUGCCCACAGGAGGCGCACAACGCGCUUGCGUAUUUGUCGGGAGGUUUGUCCCUGCCGCGGGCCUGUCGGAGCUGCCCGCUCACUCGCAGUGAUGCUGAGGAGAGGCUGAAGGGCCGCCGCCUUGGCGGCCGCAGGGCGGAAGGAAGAAACCGUUUAAAGUAAAGCACACACACCGAUUCACUCGGCUGGGCUUUAACCGCGCCUCCUUAACCAUGGCCGAGAUCCCGAAGACGUUACGGUGCUUUCGGGAGGAGCACUCUGGGGAAAAACUGAAGGACGACAAUGUGUUGACGGUAACUUCAGAAGAGCAGAAGACAGUAGAACUGAAUGUGGAAGAGGCAUAUGAAGCAUUCAGAAUUGAUCGGAGCAUGCUGCAACCUGUCCUUCAAAGAGAGAAACACUUCCAAUACUUGAAGAAAGGUCUGAGGCAUCUCUCUGAGUCGUAUUCGUGUUUGGAUGCCAGCCGGCCCUGGCUUUGUUACUGGAUCUUACACAGCUUGGAGUUGCUAGGAGAACCAAUUGAUGAUUGUAUGGCUUCAGAUAUUUGUCAAUUCCUAUCACGAUGUCAGAGUCCAAAUGGUGGAUUUGCUGGUGGACCAGGCCAAGAGCCACAUCUUGCCCCGACGUAUGCAGCAGUGAAUGCACUCUGCAUUAUAGGCACAGAAGAGGCAUAUAAUGUUAUUAACAGGGAAAAGCUGCUAGAAUUUCUAUACUCUGUGAAACAGCCUAAUGGUUCCUUUACUAUGCAUGUGAGUGGAGAAGUCGAUGUUAGGAGUGCCUACUGUGCGGCAUCUGUUGCCUCCUUAACAAACAUCGUCACACCAACAUUGUUUGAGGGGACACCUGAGUGGGUGUUAAGAUGUCAGAAUUGGGAGGGUGGGAUUGGUGGUGUACCUGGAAUGGAAGCCCAUGGUGGCUAUACUUUCUGUGGGAUGGCUGCCAUGGUUAUCUUCAAAAAGGAAUGGAUGCUGGACCUCAAAGCUUUGUUACGCUGGGUGACCAGUCGGCAGAUGCGGUUUGAAGGUGGAUUUCAGGGUCGGUGCAACAAGUUGGUGGAUGGUUGUUACUCAUUCUGGCAAGCUGGACUCUUACCACUCCUGCAUCGUGCAUUGCAUGCACAUGGAAACAAUAGUCUCAGUAUGACACGCUGGAUGUUUCAUCAAGAAGCCCUACAGGAGUAUAUCCUACUUUGCUGUCAGAAUUCCACUGGGGGAUUACUGGACAAACCUGGCAAGUCAAGGGAUUUUUACCAUACCUGCUAUUGCCUAAGUGGUCUUUCAGUGGCACAGCACUUUGGUGGUGGAGAACUUCUACACGAAAUUAUUGUUGGUGAUACAAACAACCGGCUGGAACCAAUCCACCCUGUAUACAACAUUAGUCCUGAAAAAGUAGCACAAGCUGUAAUGCACUUCCACAAGCUACCAGUACCACAGAUGAAAAAUAAUUCAAAUUAAAUUCAUUGUGUAUUCAAAGUAACUAACUUUCUAAGUACUAAUUGUGUAACCUGAGCGCAGAGAAUUGUGGUAUCCAAAGUGAAAUGAUUCACGUGAAGCAGGGACUAGCUUCGAGUUAUUUGCUUCUGACGACAACAACAAGCCAUUGACACUGCCGAAACUGUGACUGACUAGUCAAUGUUCAGCAAUUUGCUCCUCCAAUGCUGCAGAAACGGAGGGUGGUGUCUAAAAGUGGUCAAAAUUGACACUGUUGAAACAUGGCAAGUGAAGUUCCAAAUGGAUUAAUUUAAAUGGAGUCUCUGCAAUGACAUUGUGACCAUGACUAUCUUGUUUCCAAACUCAUCAUGUGAACUCGUGUGUUUACAGCACAUAGGUGUGCAAUUUUUAUGCCUUUUUAAACUUUAAUUUAAAAAUUUACUUUUGUUUUGAAUUUCUUAUCUUGCUUCUACGUUUUACAUCUUGCUGUUUGUAUCUGAGGGGAUGAACCAAUUUUGCUUUUAAAGUAGUACCAACUGCAAAUUAGAACGAUACAAGCAUCUGUGCUAGAAAAUUUAUACUUUAUUUCGAUAUACAGCUAUUCACAUUUUGUCCACAUCUGGCAUAUGUUAAUAAAAUAUAAUAUUUUUGUGCAACGAUACUUAUUGGCCUGGAUUUCGCAGUUCGGUGUUACAUGCAGAAAUCCAGAUUGUGCCUUUGUAGUUCCUACAGAUGAAAUCAUUAGAAAUGACUGAAAUUGCUGUGAAUAUCCACUUUUUAUACAGAGAUAAAGCAAAAUACAUGAACAUUGGAAAUCUCAAAUAAAAUCAGUGUGGGAAACAUUCAGUAUAUCCGCAGCAUCUGUGGAAGAAAAACAGUGAUGACAUUUCAGAGUUCUGUAUUUUCUGAUAUUUUUCACUUUUACACUACCAUUCUGUAAAAUCCCUUGAUACAUGUUGCACCUCGUGAGGUGUGACCUAGUUUGGAACAGUGCACUAAGUUCACAAUGCUGUUACAACUUCGCUGACAGAAAAUCUAAUUUUCUUUGUGGCAUCUCAAAUGUCUACAGUGAUAACUUUAAAACAAUUAAAAACCUAUUAAAUUUUAUUAUCCUUCAUUUAUGUUAAGUCACAGUAAGACCCUUAUUUUAUUCUUUGCAAGAUAAUUAACAGGUGAAGGAUAAUCAGUACAUUUUAUUUCCUGACUUACAUCAGCAAAAACUCUUCAGAUUGUUGGCUCAGCCUAAUUGUUGCCACUAAUGUUACUGGGUGGUGAUGAUUAUCAAUAGUUGACAGCAGAAACCAAUUAAUGUUGGACAAGUUGAAAUCCAUGUCACCAAGUCUUUUGAUGUCAAAACACAUGACUGUUAUCUUGAGAGAGGUUGGUUUGUUCAGCAAAAUGACAAAAAUCCUCUCUGUAUUGAACAUCAGCAGAAAUAUAGAUUAAUUUUAUACUUGCAACAAUUAAAAUAAGCAAAGGUCAGUUUUCAAUGCUUUCUGUUUAUACUUUCAAUCUUCAUUCAUUGUUAUUUUGCUAAAGUAGGGUAAAAUUGCCUCAACAAGCCAUCCUGCAAACCUAAUACUGAGGAUCCAGUUAUUUGUUCAUAAUUUUUAAGUAUCAUCAAAGAAUAAUAAAUGACUGCACUUUUAGAACAGAACUUCACUUAUUAUCAAUUUAAUGUUUUUUGAAGAUUUAAAGCUUUUUCAGAUGACAGGACUUCCUAUCCCACCGUCUGUUGGGAUCACACUUGCCAAUGCUGGCCGCUCCACAGCCGUUCAACACAUUAAGCAUUAAAUUGCUGCAGGAGAAGCUUCUGCCCCCUGCGUGGGAGGAGGUCCUACUUCAGAAAGCUUCAGAUAAUCAGACUGGCCAAAAACUGAGUAAUCCUGCCAGCACCAGUUAAUAGAGUGACCUUCCCUGGGAUGAUGCGCAGUCUCCAGAGACCAGGCCAGAAUGUCCAGGACUGGGUAAGUGUGGGGUUCUUGCAGUCACGUGGGUGGAAUGCUUGUGGGUAGUGGGAGGGUAGGGUGACAACACAGAGGUAUUUACAGACUUUGUGGGUUGGGAUGUUAAGAAGGAUCUGUUGAGAGGUACCCUCCAUUAUGCCUGAAGCCAGAGCAAAAUGGCUUUCCAGGCUUCCUCCUCAGCUCUUGAUGACCUCACAGCCUUCAAAUUGAGGCCAGUAGAAAGCCACCUUGAAGUGGUCAUUAAUUGUCCAGUUAAAGACCUCCAUUGGCAAAAGGGUGGGCACUACAGGCCUCUCUCAUCCCAUACCCAUUUUACCAACUGGAUUGCAGCAGUUUAAGAAAGCAGGUCACCACCAACAUCUUGAGGACAAUUAGGGAUGGAACAUAAAUGCUGGUCUAGCCAGUGAUCCCUCCAUACUCAAAUUCCAGCCUGGUUGGUGCAGGUGGAGGGACAGUGGCAAAUUUUAUUGCAGUCAGGUUAGUGUAAAAAAAAAAUAAACAACCCAGUUCGUGCUCAGUAGUGUUCUGUUUUUCUUUUUAGCUGCAUGGGACUCCAAAGUUGCUGCUGUGCUCAGGACUUGGAACUGAAGGUCAAUUGAUUAUAACUUUAAUGUCUCUCCUCCCCUUUACCCCCACUCCAACUGUAGGCCAAACAUUGUCCUUGUAUCAACUGAUGAAUUCUUUCUUUCUUGCCUCACAAGUAAAACUCUGAACAUUUCUACUGUCUUUACUGAAUAAAAUUUUAAGAGGAUUCGCAGGUAAUGAAGAGGGAAACUCUCUGCUGGCUGGAGUACAAAGGAAGGUAGGUUGUUGGAGGUUAAUCAUUUCAGCCUCAGGAUAUUACCCUAAAGAACUCCUACAGAAGUGUUUUCAGCCCACCCACCUUCAGCUGCUUCAUCAAUGACCUUUUCUGUCAAAAUCAGAAGCGGGGAUGUUUGCUGCUGAUUUGUAUAGCAUUCUGUAUCAUUCAUGGCUUGGAUACGGAACUAAUAUGUCAACAUGUGGUAAUACCUAAAAUGAUGUUCAGAUUUUGGCUGAGGACAAAGAGGAAACAAAGAUACAGCUAGAACCAGCUAAGAGGUUGGAGAGCGAGGAUCGAAAAUAAAAUGCAGAUCAUGUAUAGUAUUUUCUGGACUGUAACGAGUCCAAAUUAUCAGCCCAAGCCUGGAUGUUGUGCAUGGGGACACUCGUCCUCCGAGAUGAGCCAUCUCACCUGGCACCUGCAACCCUUGCCCUAUUCACCAUGAGACCACAUUAUCCUUUCACUGGCUGUGCUCCUCUUCUUCCCUCAUCACUGAGAAUAUUCCUUCCCCCUAAAACCUGUCUCACAUGUGACCCCUCUUCUUUCUCUGCUGCACAUUAAUCCCCUUCUUUCUUCAGGGAUCUGAACCGCACAACCUGAUUUCUGCCACCUCUCUCAACCUACCCAGGCACCUUACCCAUAUUGGGCAUUACUCCCUUCUUUCUUAACCUACUAAUCACCUGACACCCUGACUUAUACCCAGCUGCACUCUACUUCCCUUGAUAGUAGCUGUCGAAGUGGAGGUCUCGAGCUUUAACUGUAAAAUAAACCAACUGAUUGCAGGGAGAAAGGGGACUGUAUUUUGCAUUCCUUUAACAACAUUACUAAAAAAACUGUCUGAAGGGUAUUAUAGCUCUGCAUUUCAGAAACAGCCCUAACUGGAAUCUCCUGUUUAUAAAAGGGAGAAGCUGUCUCUUAUAAAAAUAAAAAAACUAGGACUGAGUGGCAAUCAAAUUUCCCACCAAUUGCCACACCUUGGAAUAUACAGCCAUUGAAUCGAGAAGGAAAUGAAUGGCAGUUCAAUAUUCAAAGUUUUAUAGUAUUCACAUGAUUUAGAGAUGGAUUAAAAAGGCGGGUUAUUACUGUAUUGGUUAAAGAAACAAAUACAGCUGUGAAAAAGGUAAUCUGUUUGAAAGAAUAUCAAACUACACUAAACAGAAACAAAAGAGCAAUCACACUGCUGAAAGCAUUUUAUGGACCCCCAAACAGUUACAGACAGAUAGAUCAACUACAUUAAUAUUAACUGGAACAAUUUCAGUAUAAGAGAUAUGAACUGUUUUAAGAAUCCUGCUCCCUCUGUAAGAACUUCUUCAGGCAGUACAUAGCAAAUCGAACAAGCAAAGGAGCAGUCUGAACAAAAUGUAGAUGCUGGAGAUCUGAAACAAAAACAAAAAGUGAUGGAUUCACAACUUGUAUUCCCACCACCUGUACUGCUAGAACUGUUGAGUUUGAUCCAGCACUUUGUUUCUGUUUUGGAGAAUUGGUAUAAAGAAGGAUUGAGUAAUUAUGAAAAGGAUACUGACAACUUGGAGUAAAAAUUGUCAAUUGGGGAAUAUUAAAUUUACUAAGCUGAGCUGAUAUUUGACAGAUGCUUGAAGUUAAAUCAAUAUCAAAGCAAUGGAGAUGAGAGGCCCCCCUUAUGUCCCUACCCCUACACCAGGGGGGCCUGUGUGCAAAUCUUACCUGCUCCAGAGGUUGAUUAGAAAAAUAAGUUAAUUUUUUUUUUUUUUUUUAAAUUAUGGGGCAUGUGAAGGAAGACCUGAAGACAGUUCUGAACACACAUUCUCACAAAGAAAGAAGUUCAAAUCGAUACGUGGCCCAAUAUCAAAGGCCAUGUAGAUGUGGACGAGGCAAAAAGCAAGAAAGCUUUUGUCAAAUGCCAAAAACACAAUCCUACAGGUAGCCUAGAAGAAACAAAGUACAGGGGUGACUUUUAAAAAUAGGAAAUGAGAAAUAGUCAAGGAAAUAAUAAAUAUUGGCAAUUAAAAUCAAGGACACUCCAAAGGCAUGCUAUAAAUAUAUAAAGAGCAAGAGACCAAAUAAAGUAACUUGUGGGUAGAAACAGUGUGGGCAGAGCUGUUAAUGAAUAUUUUGUGUUUGUUUUUACAAAAUAAAGAGAUGAAGCAGACAGUAUAGUUAAGAAGUGUAAAACACUGGAUAAGAUAAACUAAGUGAGGGAGGAUGUGUGGAUAAAUCACCAGAUCCCAAUGAAAUGUAUCCUAUUGCUUACAAAAGGAAUCAAAGGUGGAUGUUAGUCAUCAUUUUCCAAUUAUCUGUGAUUACAGCAAUAGAACUGGAAGAGCAAAAAUGCUUGAGACAGUACAGACAGACAGCAUAAUCUUGGUGGCAGGCAAACUAUUGGGAAAAGGUCAAAGACAUGGUAUACGUCACCAUUUUAGAUGCAAGAUUAAUCAAAAAUAGCACUGACGUUAAAGAGAAGGUCAUGUCUGACCACUUGAUUACAUUUAUAAAAGGAGAAAAGGCAAGAAGAGGGUGGUAACAUGUGAUAUAGCGGACAGACUUCAGCAAGACUUUUGACAAGGUCUCAAGGCAGAUUGGUCAGAAAAUUUUAAAAAGCCUUGGAAUUCAAAAGAAAGUUCUAUCUUGGAUUUGAAAUUGACUGAGAUUUUCAAUCUUUGUUGUCAUGUAUUCAAUACUAAGAACAUUUUACAUUAACAUUAAACAUGCCUAAAUUACAGUGUGAACUUAUCAAAUGUUUGGAAGAUCAAAAUCUUUAAAAACUUCUAUCAUAAUUUGGGACUACUGAAAGCCUUUUCUUGGAGUACGGCAUUAUUCUGAGGUCAAAGUGCAUAACUCAGGCACUUUACCAUUAUCUGUAUCAAAUUUUUGUCUGAAGGUUUGUGUGCCUGGAAUUCACUGCUUUUUCUCCACAACCAGAUGGAUACACACUGUUGUAAAACAACUGCAUUCAGUAGUACCCUACGACUGGCAGAUAACAUAUGACUUACAUAAAUGUUACAAUUUGACAUGUUGAAAUGCAUCUGUAAUGCAGGAAAUAAUUGCAACAAGCUGGAGGAACAUACUAGACCAGAGCUGCCCAAACCAGUUUGUAAUGUGAUCCCAUUUAAAUACGUGAGAAUUAACUCAAGCACAGCAAAGACAAAACAGAAGAACAGCAACAAAACAGCACAGUUCAUACUAACGUCAACAAAUCAUUUAAAUAUCAAAAUGUUUUAAAGCACUAUGUUUUUAAAAAAUUGUGAACAGUACGUUGUAAUUAGACCUUCUCCCCUUACCAUUCUUCCUAACAGAGACACAAAAUUCAAAGCUGCCCUCCACUUUUCAGGCUUAGGUACGAGGUAUCCAGGGUUUCCCCAAACUCGGGCACUGACCAAGUUACAUUUGAGGGUACCUGGCUGUUGUAAUUCGGCACACUAACAUCUCAGGCCCCAGAAAUGUCUUCCGAAGUCAAGUAGUAUUUUGAGCACAACAUCCAUCCCAUGUUGUUUGUUCGAAUUGAUCCAACGUGUCAAGGGCUGUCCUGCCAGAGUCUCGAGAUUGGGUCAGUUUGUCUCCUUGACAAUCCAAGGAGAGACUAUUUUCCACCUCAAAUGUGACCUCUGACGACUUAUGUUCAGGAACCUGUGUAGGAAGUGUUGGUAAGAAAAUCUAGAAAACACACAACAGAUCGAUCAACAGCUUUAAAGAUAGGGUUUGACACUUCAGUAAAACAAAGAUGGGCAGGCAUUUUUAUAUGGCUGAAAUGAAUAGAAAAAGCGACAGAUUUUGAUGAUGAGUGAAGUGUUAAGAUGGGUUGCAAACUUACUGAUAUCUUUUAUAGCAACAGGUGAUACAUCAGAUGAUCAAAGGAAUGAGGGAGAAGCUCCACACAAAAAAAAGGAAUCAAUAAACAGCAAAAUAAAGUUCUCCCAAGUGCAUUAUGAAAUGUGACAAUACACUUAUUCCCAAACCCUUAAGCUAAUCCAGAUUCAACCACACAUCACGAACAUAGCUUUAAAUAACAUAAUGGAGAACAAUUGAUAUAAGAAGUGUUUUGUACAUCUGACAAAAAGACUGGCAAUAGUUGGAACUGUAUAGGCUCCGAUAUCUAUAAUAUUUAUCUGGAGGAAAAGCAGAGGUGAGAGUUCAAUGUUAGAAUAAGUUCAACUAGGCAAACGAUGGAAGAUACAAAGACCUGGCACACUCACUGCAUCCCAAAUUAUGGGACUGGAGAAUCUGAAACUUUGGUUGGAUUUUCCUACUUAUGACUAACAGUGCGAGCUUUCAGAGAAUCUUUAAAGCAAUUUUGACAGCCCUGAUCUCUUAGCCUGGCUACCCCCCUGGUACACAGUAUUCUUGAAGACAGGCUUCUUCCAUCCUAGCAAAACCUUCUUUGCUUUAUCAGCAUUAUGAAGCACAAAUGCCUUGCUGACUUUGUCUUUCCAUGUGAUGCAGAUGUAAACACUGAUAUAGAUUGUUGUCCAGGCUUCAUUUCCAAACAGUAAUAUGCUGUGAAUAUGCAGCUUGUAGUCAAGUUGUUGCCUCCAAAACCAGUUGGCCAAAACAGGAAAUUUGCAAAAACUUGAUCCAAGCAGAAGUUGACAAGAACGCUUUUGAUGCAUUUAAGGCACAGCUGGAUAAAUACACAAGGGAUAAAGAAAUAGAUUAUACUGAUGAUGUUCAGUUUGGACCAGUUGCACCAAGUGGGUUAUUUCUGAUUUGUAGACUUUUACACAAUGAGUAGUCUAAAUGGAAAGGCUACUGGCAAAAAUUCAUGUGAAGAAAGAAAUUGGAUCUGGAGGCAGAACUCCAUCUCUAAUUAAUGUAAUUAUUUUUGGUUCAGAAGCUCCCAUCUAAACACACCAAUAUUCCCUUCCAGAAAGAGGCUGUUCCAAUGUGCCGUUCUCCAGAAAGUUUAAAAAACUUACCCAUGCAAGUCAGCUACAAAUUGUUUGACUAUUAUACUUCUAUUUCACUUGCAUCUUACUAAAAAAUUGACUGUUUCUAUGGAAAUUAUUAUUGGCCCUAUGGUUGGUCUGCUGUUCAAACCACAAAAUUGCUCAAGAAUGGGGCCUGAACAUACAAAAUGCCUUUCAUUGAGUACAUUAAGGGUGUUACAAGCAAGCUUGCUCUGUGCACGUUCAGUUCAUUAUGUUCCUGCUGUUGGAUCUUCCAUUAGCAUUCCGUGAUGCAUUGCUCAAAUGAACCUCAAACCAUUACUAAAAAUACCCUUGCUUUAAAUAUUGCUAUUUUCUCCCUCUGUUGAAAUUUAUUUAAGGUAACUCAAUGAGGAAUGUCAGCUUUAUGACAUUUAUCAGUACAUCAGGAAAAGUGUAAAACUCCUACUUAUAAAGCCAGCAGUGUUCUUCCAUACUUCCUUAACCUCAGGAAACUUCACAGCAGUUGAAAAGUUCACCAUCCAGACCCCCUUGAGGAGCAAAAUGCAAACGCUUGUAAAUUUAUACAACUGAGCUUACACUCUCUCAAAAUGAGCUUUGAGAGCAGAAGGUUAGUUUUAACUUGUACAACCAAUGCAGCAGCGUGACAUCAAUCGCCAGCAGUCUGGGCAGAAUUCAUUCAAGAAAUUAAAUAUAAAUGAUUCUCAAAUAUGUUAAAUCUUCAAUAAAGCAGCAUUGGUAUAGAGAUUCAAGGACUGAAGUCAGCAUAUACUUGAGAAUUUCCAUUCCGAAUAAACAUAUACCGAUAAUGUCAACCUGAACAGCAAUGGAUGAAAGCCAGAAGUAGAACUAAACAUAUUCUUAGUAGUUGUUACAAAGACCAAUCAAGAUUAAAGUACAAGAGCCAUACACAAACAAGAUCCACAUGGAAUAGCCCACAAGUCUAUACAUAUUUUCAAGUAUACUGUAUUCCAAGGAUCCUUUUGUCACAGGUGCAUUUUUUAAAAAAAAAAAAUCUUUUCCUUAAACAAGCUUUACUUAAACUUCAAUCAGAAUGAUUUGACAAAGUAACCAGAUUUAAAACAAACUAUGAAAACAGCCUCUGUGACACUGCUAUGAUGUCAGGAAACAAACACUUAUUUCAAAAAUACUUCAUCAGCUGGAGUGCUGCCAAUCAUAAAGGUCAAGAAAGAUAAUACAUAAAUCUAACUCCUUAUUCUCCUUCAUAGAAAUACAAAACAACAAUAUUGACGUUAGUGGCUGUGUUACUAUGCAACUACUAAAUAACUGUUGUUCUCAAGGAGAGAGACAGGCACUUCACAUUUCAAUUUGCAUAAACCUCGUAUUUAGGAUUUCUUUUUCCUCUGGGCAACUGGAUAGCAAUACAGAAUUAAUUCAGUUGCCAGUAAGUUGAAUGAAACUAAUGUGCUCUUCCCUUUGACAUUAGUAAAGAUCAUUAACUAUCACAAAUAACAAGGAU